GACGAACGCUGGCGGCGUGCCUAACACAUGCAAGUCGAACGGAGAAUUAGCAAUAAUUCUUAGUGGCGAACGGGUGAGUAACGCGUAGACAACCUGCCCUUUAGAUCGGGACAACAGAUCGAAAGGUCUGCUAAUACCGAAUAUUGUUUGAGAAACGCAAGUUUCACAAACUAAAGAUGGCCUCUAUUUAUAAUCUUGCGCUAAAGAAUGGGUCUGGGUAUGAUUAGCUAGUUGGUGAGAUAAAAGCUCACCAAGGCAAAGAUCAGUAGCCGGUCUGAGAGGAAGAACGACCACACUGAGACUGAGACACGGCCAAGACUCAUACGGGAGGCAGCAGUGGGGAAUCUUCAGAAAUGUAAAAAAGUCUGACGGAGAAACGCCGCGUGAGUGAUGAAGGUUUUCGGAUCGUAAAUCUCUGUUGUUAAGGACGAAUGUAUAGAUUGUGAAUAAUGGUUUAUAAUGACGGUACUUAACGAGGAAGCAACGGCUAACUACGUGCCAGCAGCCGCGGUAA
rnacentral:rRNA from 1 species